rnacentral:lncRNA from 1 species
ACUACAGAACCGCCCACUGGGAGAGAAGACUGCAUUUGAAAAAGCAGUGAUGAAAAUAAGAAAAAGUUCAUCUUUGUCUCUCAUAUUUUUAGAGAAGGAUCAUUCGCAGCAACGGAAGGACUGAAGAGCAGUGAUGGAUUAGCAAAAGGCAGAGAAGAGUCAAGAGAAUGUGGGAGACAGAAAUUGGUAUGAUUCUGCAGUUUAGUUCACCUUCAUGGGUAAGGAGUCUGUCAAAUAUUAUUACCAUGUAAAGAAGACCAAUAUUUAUUGAGAACUCUUAUUUUCUACACAUGUAUGUAAUGGGUCAGGUGCACCACUAUUUUAGCCUGUAGCUAGCUGUUAUGUGAAACAGUUAUCUGUUUCUGUUGUAUACUAGCUUGGUUAAAAUUCUACGAGCGCUGACAUUCCUACUGUCUGAUGGUCUACAUCUUCAGAUAGUAUAAAUUAAUGCUCCUGAACAUUCUGGAUCUCAGUUCAGGGUAUGUAAGAAAAUGGACAUACCCAUAGACACUGGCCUGGUAGUAUUUGAUGCAAUAAUUAAGAUCAAUUUUGUUCUCACUGUGUUUAUGUCAGGAGCAGAUUCACACUGGGAUUGAUAAUGUCAGAGGCUCAUUUGCAAACUGGAGCCUCCAUGCCUUCCAAAGUUUCAUGACAGGAGAACAAAUAGAUGUUGUAAGCUUUAUGUAGACAUAUUUUACAUGCUGUAAAACACAGAAGUCAACCAUCACCUUAUGUGUUUUUCAGGCCCUUAUGGUCAAGGUACAGUUUUAACUCAUAACACUUAAGAAACGAAUAUUGCCAAAGCAUCAUAUCUAGCUACCCUGGUGUGAGAAACCCUCAGCAUUCAGCUGGCAAGGCUCAAGAAGAUACCUUUGGAUUUGUAGUGAGAAAAUUUCAGUACUUCAUCAUUUCAUUUCUCAAGUUAAAAUUACUCAUAUUUGGAGUUUUUUUGUUUUGUUUUGUUUUGUUUAAUGUUCAUUCCCCUUGGUUUUUGAAUGGGCCUUAAAUUCAUGUUUUCUGUAGUAUCAUUUAAAACAGGAACUGGAAGCAAGCAAAUUAUAAGCUAGCUAGAGUGACCUCAGGUCCUUCUGGUAUCAUCUGCUCUCCUGGGCUUCACUGGCCUGACGUUCACACACCAUCCCUCUGCCUUGGUUCUUUCUAUUUGCUGAAUGGGAGCUGGUGAGACUUCCUCAGUCUGGCUGUCCUGGGACAUUUUUCUGUGCACUUCACCAACUUUUCACGUUGAAAAUAAAUUAGAAAAAAAGGAAUUCUACCUUCUUCACUCUCCAUGUAUCUCUGGACAAACAAGAGGAGUGCUGCUCAGUGCAAGGUCAAAUCCUAUAUUUUUUCCCAAAUAAUAACAUUUGUUGACAAAAUUCUGAUCUGACAUGAUUUUCCUUACAAGCACAGUUGUAUUCUUUUGAAAAAAUAUUAAAAAUGAUCAGGCUUCUACAGAUUCUUAGCACGCCACAUCACCAUAACAGCAAAUGGGAGAAGAAGAGCCUGGGAAGUAAUGUUUGUCCAUCUGUUCUAUUAUAAAUGAUGACCCUGGAUAUACGAUGCAUAUUUCUUCCACUUUUACAUUGCAUCACUCUAUUUCCUUUAUUUAGAUUUUAUUUAUAAGUGGGAGCAUAUAAUGUGAUCUAUUUAUAAAUCCAUUUAUAAAUGUGAUUAUAUAAUGUGAUCCAUUCACAGAAUUUGAACAUGCAGCCACGGGAAAACGGGCUUUUCAAAAGCGAUUUUUCAAAGGCACUCAUGUGUGCCCAUGAUUUGAUGUAUGACUCUGUGAAAGCUGUCACACAGGUAUUCCACAUGCUCCAACACUGACGUAUCAGCAUGCUGGCAUGAUGCCACAAAUACAACCUUUCAUCACUGGCAGCAUUUUGACUCUGCAUUUUAAGCCUCGACGAUUAAAAGCUCUGUUUUCCCCUUAGCCUCCUGCAUAACCUCUGCCUGUGCUAGAGGAACAGACUUGCAGGUAGAUGAAUGCCUCAUUUACCACAGGUCCAAAAUUUUCCAAGGUUCACGCAGUGAGCAAUACCUUUCUAUGAGGUGGCUCUGCAACACACGCACACACCCUUUAGGUUGUAUGUAUCCUGCUUCUAUAGCAGUGCAACAUAGGAGUUUUAGAUUUUCUCAGUGAGCUGUUACAAUAUCUGACCAGCCCGUGGGAAAAGGAAAGCCCAAGGUUUCCUCUGCAGAGAGCAAGCUCAUCACUGUGACAUCCUGUAUGGACUUAGGAGGCUCAUUCAUUGCAGGUGGGCCUUGCCACCUCGCUGACCUGGUGUCUUUCCUGGACACACGUUUCUGCCUUUUUCUGUCCAUUAAUUUUGAACAGCGCAGUAGGCGUGGGCAGCUUGAAGAAAGUGGAAAACAUCAGUCAAGAUGUUGAGUCAAGCCAGAGCACAGGUACAAGAAUGAAUUUGCUUUCCCAAAUGACAUUUGCAACAAAAUUAACUAGGAACAUUAAUCUGCUGGAACUUUUAUCCCAGAAGUAGAUAGACAUUAGCAUGGAGUGGAUAUAUCUCUGUUCAGUGUCUGCAGAAUGCCCAGGCCUGAGCCCAGUCUGUAGUUCCAAGGUAAUGUCAAAAUCCCAACAGAUUCUACAUGGCACGGAUGUCACCUUUUCUGGGAAACAGUCGUGCAUCGGUGUUCGAUCACUGCGCUGUUUUGUAGAUGGAAACCACCACAACGCACCUGGCGCUUACAACACUGCUGAGCAGCCAUUUUACAACGGGUGCAGUUACGACACCGGUUUCCAGAUUUGUACUGCUUCUCAGAAAGGAAGGGUGAUGCUCUGGUGCUACUUCACGGAGCAACAAUUACAAUAACAUGAUGAGCAAAAUGCAAAAGGAACGGUUACAUUGCCACGUUACCAAGGAGUGGUCAGUGCUAGGACAGCGCGUGGGGCUGACACAGGGGUCUGUCCUGACAGCACCAGCACCUUCUGGGAGGUGGAUGAGUUCUGUGUCCCACUGCUACAUGCAGUUGGCCUUUAUUCUUGUUUAAGAGCAGGCAGCUCCACAGGGGAAAGUUUUUACCUGGCUCAAUAAAUAGUGACUGACAAAUCCUUUCACUAAAAGGUUAAUCCUGGCUACAUUAAGGGGUUAUUUUUGGCUGAGAAGGGACACGGACAUAGCAACACAAACUUGACAGUGGGACCCCAUUCCUUCCCUUUAGGCAUAAAGCCAAUGGGAACAUAGCAAGUGAUUUCUGUUCCCACUGUCCUGGGACAGGUGGGCUGAAAGUUUCUCUUUUCUGUUAUGUUAUGUCUCUGUUACCUGCAGAACUAGGUACUGAGCUUGCUUUCUGGCAUCAUUACUGGGACUGCUCUAAAUUCAGCACAGGACCGGAGUGACACUGUAUAUGAGCUCAGUGAAACCUAAGAGAGAAGGUAUUUUUGGUUCAAUAGACUUCUCCUGGCACCUUCACUCUCAAACACCAUGAUAGUGCCCUUGCAAAAGGCAAUCAAAAGUGGUGAAGGAAGGAAAAUGAGUCAAGGGAAUACGCAACAGAGAAAUGAAAAUUAUAUGCAUAUAAAAAAAUUCUUACAUAGUACUAACAAAAACUGAUUCAGAGAAAAUUUAACAGCUCUGUGUUUGACUGCUCCCAGCUGUUACCAAAAGCACGCACAAAGUUUCACCAAGUUUAACAUGAGCAGCUCUUAGUAUGAGUAUUCACAGUGGAAAUCUACAGCUAGGGUGGAUUGAAAAUACUUAAUACUGGAUUUCAUGGUUGAUUAAAAAUCCAACUAAUCAAUUUAUUUAAAUGAUUUAAAAAUUCAAUUUCAUUUGCUCUGAAUUUAAAAAAAAAGUUCACGUCUUUCUGUAAAGAAUAUUUUACAUUUCAUCCAUUGGGAAGGAAAGCAGUAGGAGUAUAAAUAAAAUGCUAAUUGGGGAAAAUAAAAAACCUUCAUCAAGAAACAUAUUUCAUUUGUGUCUUGAGAAAUGUUUGUUAAACAGAAUAAAGAAGGUCACAACAUAUUUCUAUGUACUUUUUCUAUUGUAAAUCCAGUUUCUCAUUAGAAAAUUCGAGUUGCUUAAUCAGAAAAUGGGGGAAAAAAAUUGAGUGUACAUAUUUGGGAGUGAUAAAAUGGAGAAGAGACGAUACUGGAAAGAAACAAAAUUUGUAUUAAUUAAAGAGAAUGCAGUCUUGGCAGAUGAACAGAAAUAAAAUAGAAUGGCGUGGUUAUGGGUAGAACAGCAGGAUGUUUAAACAAAGAUUUACUGUAGAGGACUUUUAAAAUGCAGUCCUAAAACAUACAAGGCAUUAAAGAAUGUAUUUUAAGUCUAUAAAACAGCAGCUGAUUGUGUAUAGAUUAAAGUUAAUGAACCG